CGGUUAACAUACCAUCACUCAUUGGGGAGUAGCCUCCUUUUCUCGAAAAGGGCUUGCAUCAACAUACUUGGCCCAAAAGCCAUGGUGCAAGCGGUUUCCACACUUGGCAAGACCUUUGACUGCAUUUCCACCGCUUCGGCCUGGGUGGAAUGUGGUCAUUUGGUUCUCAAGGCCGUGGAAUUU
rnacentral:sRNA from 21 species